rnacentral:lncRNA from 1 species
GUAGAAGCAGUUGCAUUUGAGCGGAUCGCGAUCCGAUCUUCAGAGCAAGUGGAUCGAUGGGGUUUGUAGUCAGCCUGCUGUCAAAGGGAGGAGAGUUACGUAGGGUUUUGGGAGAAGUGGAGGAAGCCCCAUGUGAGCGGAUCAUGACUCAAUCUUCGGAGUGAGUGGGUCGAUGGGGCCCACAAUCAACCUACUACCAAAGGG